rnacentral:rRNA from 1 species
AAUUUUGGACAAUGGGGGGAACCCUGAUCCAGCCAUCCCGCGUGUGUGAUGAAGGCCUUCGGGUUGUAAAGCACUUUUGACAGGGAAGAAACAACACUGGCUAAUACCCAGUGCAAAUGCCGGUACCAGUAGAGUAAGCACCGGCUAACUACGUGCAAGCAGCCGCGGUAAUACGUAGGGUGCAAGAGUUAAACGGAAGUACUGUGGGUAAAGGGUACGCAGGCGGCGAGGAAAGAAGGAUGUGAAAUCCCAGGGCUCAACCUUGGAACUGCAUUCUUAACUGCCCAGCUAGAGUAUGUCAGAGGGGGGUAGAAUUCCACGUGUAGCAGUGAAAUGCGUAGAUAUGUGGAGGAAUACCGAUGGCGAAGGCAGCCCCCUGGGAUAAUACUGACGCUCAGGUACGAAAGCGUGGGGAGCAAAC